GACUGGGAGGUGAAAAUUUCUAUUGUAAAGAACUUUGUGAUAGUAUAGAAAAGAAUGCAACAUUUACAUGAAUUUCUUUUUUUAGGUUUAUUUAUUUAUUUUGAGAGAGAGCGAGCGAGCGAGCGAGCAGGGGAGAGGCAGACAGGGAGAGAGAGAAUCCCACCCAGGCUCCUGGCUGUGAGUGCAGAGCCUGAUGUGGGGUUCGAACCUACAACCCAUGAGAUCAUGAACUGAGCCAACAUCAAGAGUCGGAUGCUUAGCCGACACAGCCACACAGGUGCCCCCAAAUGGACAUGGAUUUCUUAGAGAAGUGGCUGCGGAACGGCGACCCAGCCAACACCAGAUCCAACCACCCUGUGCCUGAGGGAGGCUAUCUUACAGUAUGCAGCCCAUGGGGACACCAGCUGACUGUAGCUGCAGGAGCGACCCCAGGUAAAACCAACAAAAGGACGAGCCCAGCUAAGCCCAGACCAGGUUGCACACCUGUAGAAUCACGAGCAAAGAAGAUGGUGGUUACUUCAGGCUCACAAUUUUAGGGUGGUUUGUGCCACAGUGACGGACAACUGCUGAGAGUUGUACAUUUCUUUCUGAAGAUCUUACCCAUUUUUCUUCUGUCAAAUGUAGUCUUAUGUUCCUCCUAAAUUUUAUUACUGACGAAUGAGUUCUCUUUCUCUACUAUAUUUUCUACUUGGCUACAACUGAUUUAUAGAAAUGUGUUAGUUUUUAUAUGUCGUUCUUUCAAAACAAUUAAAUUUUUUUUUUUUUUUUUUUUUUAGAGAGAGAGCAGGCAGGAGAGAAGGGAUAGAGGAAGAGAGAGAGAGAGAGAGAGAGAGAGAGAGAGAGAGAAUCUUAAGCAGGCUCCACACUCAGCAUGGUGCCCGAUGGGGGCUCAAUCCCACCUCUCUGGGAUCAUGACCUGGGCCGAAUCAAGAGUCAGUCAGUCGCUCAACCAACUGAGCCACCCAGGUGCCCCUUUUUAUAUGUUGUUCUUAUAUGUAACAAGUUCCCCAAACUUUCUUAUUUUAAUAAUUUGAUAGAGUCUACUUGUCCUGUUAAUGAAGUUUUCUACAAUUCCUAGUUUGCCAAGACUUCAAUUUCUUUAUCAUGAAUGGCCAUUGAUGUAUAUUUAAUAUCAAUUUUCUCCUAUAAUUAGUUUAUAGAAUGCAUAAAAAGACUUUCUGAUGUUAAAUCCUUACAUUUCUGGAUUAAAUCCUACCUUGUUAUGAUAUAGUUUUCUUUAUAUACUGAUAAUCUCAGCUUAUUAAUUAAUUUAGGAUGGUUGUACCAAGUUCAUCCGCG
rnacentral:lncRNA from 1 species